rnacentral:rRNA from 1 species
GCCUACGGCCAUGCCACCCUAAACAAGCCCACUGUCUGAUCUCAGAAGCUAAGCAGAGUCAAACCUGGUUAGUACUUAGAUGGGAGACCACCUAGGAAGACCAGAUGCUAUAGGCA